rnacentral:tRNA from 1 species
AAGGGGUGUAUAAACACCUAGAACUGCUAAUUCUAACCACCAAGACUAAAAUUCUCGGACCCCUUA